rnacentral:rRNA from 1 species
UACAGAGGGGGCAAGCGUUGUUCGGAAUUACUGGGCGUAAAGGGCGCGUAGGCGGCCUUUUUAGUCAGACGUGAAAUCCCCGGGCUCAACCCGGGACCUGCGUCUGAUACUGGAAGGCUCGAAUCCGGGAGAGGGAUGUGGAAUUCCAGGUGUAGCGGUGAAAUGCGUAGAUAUCUGGAGGAACACCGGUGGCGAAGGCGGCAUCCUGGACCGGCAUUGACGCUGAGGCGCGAAAGCCAGGGGAG